ACAUUAUAAACAAUUACACAACAAUCGGCCCCUCUGUAAAAAGCCAUUCCCAGGCUUUGAAAUCGUUCUUGACCAGCAGUAUCCCAAAGCUGUUUAUAAUUAGCAAACGAAUUUAGAUGGGCGGAACUUAUAUUGGAACUUACCUGUAAUGUGACCAAUUUGUCGUCAACCACAACGUCCUUGGUUAAAAAAUCAGCACCGAUGGUAGCUUUAUAUUCGCGACUAAACUUUUGAUUGACGAACUAAAAUGACGAUGUUAACAAAUUGCCAAAGCAAUACUCAUAGAGAAGCUGAUGUAAAGAUCGUUAACCAUAUUUGAGCUAGUAUUUAAUAACAAAGUGAAUAAAUUUUAAAAGCAAUCACCUUGUAGCGACAAAUAACAACUUAUCGACAUAAAAUCAAUGGGAAAUUGCAGUAUUGGAUUUUACAGCUCAAUACAAAAACCAAAAAGAAAAAUAUACUGAACGUAUAAAAUUUAACGCUUCAAUUGAUAACCACUACACCAUCAAUGGUUGAAUUCGAGGGUAAUGCUUAAAAAAGCUCGUCUGUACGAUACGUCGACCACAUCAGCAACUCCCCUAGCAUUAACAUACCUGAUUCAUUAAACAUGUUUUUCCAACGCCACUAUCUCCUAAUAUAACAACCUUUAAAAACACCCUUUUCUGAGCCGACAUUGAAGUAUAUUCUGUCGUACCUGGUAGUAAGAAGUUCAGCCCUUAGAAUGUCCAUCUGGGACAGCAUUGAUA